GCGGGUGUAGCUGAGCGGUACAGCGUCUGCCUUCCAAGCAGAAGAUCAUGGGUUCGAAUCCCAUCGCCCGCU
rnacentral:tRNA from 1 species